rnacentral:rRNA from 1 species
GCGUAAAGCGCACGCAGGCGGUCUGUCAAGUCGGAUGUGAAAUCCCCGGGCUCAACCUGGGAACUGCAUUCGAAACUGGCAGGCUUGAGUCUUGUAGAGGGGGGUAGAAUUCCAGGUGUAGCGGUGAAAUGCGUAGAGAUCUGGAGGAAUACCGGUGGCGAAGGCGGCCCCCUGGACAAAGACUGACGCUCAGGUGCGAAAGCGUGGGGAGCAAACAGGAUUAGAUACCCUGGUAGUCCACGCCGUAAACGAUGUCUACUUGGAGGUUGUGCCCUUGAGGCGUGGCUUCCGGAGCUAACGCGUUAAGUAGACCGCCUGGGGAGUACGGCCGCAAGGUUAAAACUCAAAUGAAUUGACGGGGGCCCGCACAAGCGGUGGAGCAUGUGGUUUAAUUCGAUGCAACGCGAAGAACCUUACCUGGUCUUGACAUCCACGGAAGUUUUCAGAGAUGAGAAUGUGCCUUCGGGAACCGUGAGACAGGUGCUGCAUGGCUGUCGUCAGCUCGUGUUGUGAAAUGUUGGGUUAAGUCCCGCAACGAGCGCAACCCUUAUCCUUUGUUGCCAGCGGUCCGGCCGGGAACUCAAAGGAGACUGCCAGUGAUAAACUGGAGGAAGGUGGGGAUGACGUCAAGUCAUCAUGGCCCUUACGACCAGGGCUACACACGUGCUACAAUGGCGCAUACAAAGAGAAGCGACCUCGCGAGAGCAAGCGGACCUCAUAAAGUGCGUCGUAGUCCGGAUUGGAGUCUGCAACUCGACUCCAUGAAGUCGGAAUCGCUAGUAAUCGUGGAUCAGAAUGCCACGGUGAAUACGUUCCCGGGCCUUGUACACACCGCCCGUCACACCAUGGGAGUGGGUUGCAAAAGAAGUAGGUAGCUUAACCUUCGGGAGGGCGCUUACCACUUUGUGAUUCAUGACUGGGGUGAAGUCGUAACAAGGUAACCGUAGGGGAACCUGCGGUUGGAUCACCUCCUUACCUUAAAGAA